UGUUGGUAUUAACAAAAUUCCCUAAAUGAUAUCAUUUUGAUUUCUAUAGAUUAGCAACACUGUUCAAGUAGUAAGUCUGUAGUUUACAUCAUACAUUUGACAUAUUGUGACAUGUAAUAAUAAUAAAUAUUGUAUAAUUAUAAAACAUUGAAAUGAUUUUGGCUUGUCUCACUCGAUAUAUGAAUAUCAUUCAAGAUCAUGACAUAUACAGUUCUUCCCACUAGAAUUAAUGUAAUAAAAUUACCAUCAUUGCAAUAAACAAAUAUGUAUAUCAGAUAAGUAUAAGCUAAUAUUUACAUAAAAUAGAGAAUACAAUAUCUAUGUGCUGUUUGUAAUUGCAGAUGUUGAACCGAUUCUUUCUUGUUAUUAAUAUUUUUUCAGCUGACCAGUUAUCUACGUACUUGCAAAAUAUUAAUAAGAAUUGAGAUCCGAUUCUUAAAGGAGACAACUGUAGCAAAAUAAAAAAUAAAAAACAUUUUGUGAAUGAAAGACGGAAGAACCAUAUAUGAGAAGUCAAGGAAUUGCAAGAAAAAUCUUCCAUACAAGACAAGGAAAGUAAAAGAAGAAUAGGAAGAACAUUUUUAUCAAUUUAUUUCUUUUCCUAUCCAUUCUGACAAUUCAUGUAGGAUUAAUAGAAUAUCUAAAUCUUCAUUGUUAUUAAUUUUUUGCCAAAUAUUUUGCAAAUUUUGCUCUUUUUUCUUUAAAAUAUUGCUUUUGUGUCUUGUCCAAAAUGUUGGAUGUUUUAGCAUGCUAUGGAUGCUUUUUUGAUGUUCUGAUAAAUUUGCUGUAAAUAAUAUAGAAUUGUUAAAAUAGUAAAAAUAUUCUGGGAGUAAUUGCAAUAAAGUGUUUAUAAUAUACCUAAAAAUGUGGCAAUUGUGGAGUGCUUGUUAAGAUUUUUUUUGAGUUCUCUAUUGUGUCGCUCUGAUAUAUUAUUUGUCCUAUGCAAUUCUUUAUAGACACAAAACGAUUCAGGUUUAAAACCAUUAAUCCAUGUUUUUUCAUAAUAUUGAAAGAAUGGCUUUAAAUAAUCAUUAUUAUUAAAAAUAAUUUUGGUUAUAAUAUUAUAGCUUUCUUCUAUAAAUUCUUUGGGCAACAAGGCUAAGGAUAUUUCUUGCAAUUUCUUGACUUCUUAUGGUUCUUCCAUCUUUCAUUCACAAAAUGUUUUUGAUUUUGCUACAGUUGUUCCUUUAAGAAUUGAAUCUCAAUUCUAAUUAAUAUUCUGCAAGUGCGUGGAUAACUGGGAAGCUAAAAAAAAAA